UAGGGAAUCUUCCGCAAUGGGCGAAAGCCUGACGGAGCAACGCCGCGUGAGUGAUGAAGGUCUUCGGAUCGUAAAACUCUGUUAUUAGGGAAGAACAAAUGUGUAAGUAACUAUGCACGUCUUGACGGUACCUAAUCAGAAAGCCACGGCUAACUACGUGCCAGCAGCCGCGGUAAUACGUAGGUGGCAAGCGUUAUCCGGAAUUAUUGGGCGUAAAGCGCGCGUAGGCGGUUUUUUAAGUCUGAUGUGAAAGCCCACGGCUCAACCGUGGAGGGUCAUUGGAAACUGGAAAACUUGAGUGCAGAAGAGGAAAGUGGAAUUCCAUGUGUAGCGGUGAAAUGCGCAGAGACAUGGAGGAACACCAGUGGCGAAGGCGACUUUCUGGUCUGUAACUGACGCUGAUGUGCGAAAGCGUGGGGAUCAAACAGG
rnacentral:rRNA from 1 species